rnacentral:rRNA from 1 species
UACGAAGGGGCUAGCGUUGCUCGGAAUUACUGGGCGUAAAGGGCGCGUGGGCGGAUAUUUAAGUUAGAGGUGAAAGCCCAGGGCUCAACCCUGGAAUAGCCUUUAAUACUGGAUAUCUUGAGUUCGGGAGAGGUGAGUGGAACUCCGAGUGUAGAGGUGAAAUUCGUAGAUAUUCGGAAGAACACCAGUGGCGAAGGCGACUCACUGGCCCGAUACUGACGCUGAGGCGCGAAAGCGUGGGGAGCAAACAGG